AAGCAAAGAUUAAUUUCUCAAUACAGCUGCUACAGCAUCCCAUUCCCAAAUAAAACCAGCACAUUGCACACUUGGAAUCAAGUGAUUAAUACAAAGCAAUAUGAGUAGAGACUCAUCAAAAGAAGAUAAGCAAUUGAUGGACGAAAGAGAAACUGUAAGAAUGGCACAAACAUACCAUUAAAAGAGCUACUUAAGUCAGUUAUUAGUGUAUUUAUGUCAAUCCUGAUCAAUUUCCAUUUCAUGCCUGCAAAUGGAGAAGAAAAUACAUAGUUGAUCAAAGAGUUCAACAUAAAAUAUUAGCAGCACAUAAUAAGAAAAUAUCAGUUUGUUAAAGCAUAUAAGCAAUGUUGCAUGGUAAAGUAUCACUCAUUACAAUAAAAUAUACAAAAUGCUCUUCUAAGUGACAACUAAAUGUGCAGGGGUAUAUCAAUAGUUAUUCAGGUUUUCCCUCCAGUCAGCAUUGAUGAUUCUGUUAAAUCAAUUCAGCCAAGGCUAUUGUCAAAUACCUGAGAUUGGUUGCAUAAGUCCUAUCUAUAAGUUAUUGAGUUAUUCUCUCAAGUCAGUAACAAUGAUUCCACGAAGGUCAAAUCAGCAAACGCUAUUCUCAAAUACCUGAGGUUGGCUUAGUGAGUUCUUCGCCUAAGUCUUCUAUCUAAUCUACUUCUGCAUUUACGAAUCUAAGUAUGAGCUUAUUCACUUUCUAGUUUACCACAGUCAGAAAAAAGAUUCACUUUCUAAUUUCUUUAACUCAUGAGUCCCCACUGACCUUUAAAGCCUAGGCACCAAUCACUUGGCCUUGCGGGAUCUAGCCAUCAGCUAGGCAAACUACCAAAUAAACAAGAUGACUGUACAACCAUACAAAAGGACUGAGGCAAAGUCAAUCUGGAUAGUGAAUGAAAACUGUAAGCCUCAAAAAAUUUUUAUAGACAUGAUUGAGGAGUUUCGAGAGUCUAGUCAGGUACUGAAGCAAAUGGCAAAAGUGUUCAAAAAUAACCUACUCAAAAGCUGAGAAAGGAGAAAUAGCUGAUCAAGAAUAAGAAUUUUUUUUUUUGAAAAGGCAUAACCAUUUCCUGCUAUCAUACAGACCUGUUGCUUUUUCUUCUUCGGCCUCCUCUUUCUUCGAGGUUUGCGAGCAUCAGAGGUGGAACUCAGGUUGCUACUCUGACCUGUUCUUGAAUUUGAGGUUCCCCUGGAUUUAUAGGAAGAUGCACUUCUGCUAUUUGAAGUGUUGGUAGAAGUAGAAAUUUCAGCCCUCCGUUUGGAUACAUUUUUACUGGAUGAAGGUCCAAAUCUUGAUUGAGGAUUUGAACUACAUAAGGAAUUGGUUGAUGGACGAGGUGGCGGCAUUAAAGCCCUAGCAGAAAUCUG
rnacentral:lncRNA from 1 species